rnacentral:lncRNA from 1 species
CUAAUCUUAGAAAUAAACUUCAAAACAAUUAUACCAAACCAAUCACCUCAACUAAAACUCAACGACACAUAAAUCUAGUCAGCUAAACAAAUACAAACUACACGGCCAGCUAUUUAACAAUUUACAAACUUACUUUCACAACGACACACACAUCGAGUCAGCUAAACAAAUACGAACUACACGGCCAGCUAUUUAACAAUUUACAAACU